ensembl:rRNA 5S_rRNA 5S ribosomal RNA
GCUUACGGCCAUACCAGCCCAAGAACGCCCGGUUCGUCUGAUCUCGCAAGCUAAGAAUGCUUGGGCCUGGUUAGUACUUGGAUGGGAGACCUCCUGGGAAUACCAGGUGCUGUAAGCU